GACGAACGCUGGCGGCGUGCUUAACACAUGCAAGUCGAACGGAGAGGCCCUGCUUGUGUGGGGGGCUCGAGGGGCGAGCGGGUGUGUAACACGAGAGUAACCUGCCCUUGACUUUGGGAUAACUUCAGGAAACGGGGGCUAAUACCAGAUAGGAGCUCCUGCUGCAGGGGGGGGGGUGGAGAGUUUCGGCGGUUGGGGAUGGACUCGCGGCUUAUCAGCUUGUUGGUGGGGUAGUGGCUUACCAAGGCUUUGACGGGUAGCCGGCCUGAGAGGGUGACCGGCCACACUGGGACUGAGAUACGGCCCAGACUCCUACGGGAGGCAGCAGUGGGGAAUAUUGCACAAUGGGCGGAAGCCUGAUGCAGCAACGCCGCGUGCGGGAUGACGGCCUUCGGGUUGUAAACCGCUUUCGCCUGUGACGAAGCGUGAGUGACGGUAACGGGUGAAGAAGCACCGGCUAACUACGUG
rnacentral:rRNA from 1 species